rnacentral:rRNA from 1 species
CCCCUAGACGUUCUGGGCUGCACGCGCGCUACAAUAAUACGCACAGCGAGUAUCACCGAGCUCGAAAGGGCAAGGUAAACAAUAGAAAAGGUACUGUAAUGGUUAUGGAUCCUUGUAAUUAUUGAUCUUCAACGAGGAAUUCCUAGUAAGUAUGUGUCAUCAUCACGCACUGAUUACGUCCCUGCCCUUUGUACACACCGCCCGUCGCUCCUACCGAUUGGGUGAGCCGAUGAAACUCUCGGAUGUAGGCUAUUCAUAGCCCGCAGAAGAGAUUUGAAUCGUAGCGCUUAGAGGAAGGAGAAGUCGUAACA